AUUGAACGCUGGCGGCAUGCCUUACACAUGCAAGUCGAACGGUAACAGGUUAAGCUGACGAGUGGCGAACGGGUGAGUAAUGUAUCGGAACGUGCCCAGUCGUGGGGGAUAACUGCUCGAAAGAGCAGCUAAUACCGCAUACGACCUGAGGGUGAAAGCGGGGGAUCGCAAGACCUCGCGCGAUUGGAGCGGCCGAUAUCCGAUUAGGUAGUUGGUGAGGUAAAGGCUCACCAAGCCGACGAUCUGUAGCUGGUCUGAGAGGACGACCAGCCACACUGGGACUGAGACACGGCCCAGACUCCUACGGGAGGCAGCAGUGGGGAAUGUUGGACAAUGGGCGCAAGCCUGAUCCAGCCAUGCCGCGUGCGGGAAGAAGGCCUUCGGGUUGUAAACCGCUUUUGUCAGGGAAGAAAAGGUUCUGGCUAAUACCUGGGACUCACGACGGUACCUGAAGAAUAAGCACCGGCUAACUACGUG
rnacentral:rRNA from 1 species